UACGAGUGCCCCAAGCGUUAUCCGGAAUCAUUGGGCGUAAAGGGUGUGUAGGUGGUCAUGUUAGUCUCCUGUCAAAUUCUUCGGCUUAACCGGGGUUCCGCAGGGGAAACGGCAUGACUAGAGGACGCGAGAGGCAUACGGAACUCAUAGUGGAGGGGUGAAAUCCGUUGAUAUUAUGGGGAACACCAAAUGCGAAGGCAGUAUGCUGGCGCGCUCCUGACACUGAAACACGAAAGCGUGGGUCGCGAAUGGG
rnacentral:rRNA from 1 species